CGGAGCAUAGCGCAGUUGGUAGCGUACCUGGUUUGGGACCAGGGGGUCGAGAGUUCGAAUCUCUCUGCUCCGA
rnacentral:tRNA from 1 species